UUGCAUCUACCUUGGUCGGUUCAUUGUGUGUGUGUGUGUGUGUGUGUGUGUGUGUGUGUGCGCGUGCAGGCAAACGGCAUGCAGUGGGUGGUUGUGGGAGAUGAGAAUUACGGUGAAGGCUCCAGCAGAGAGCAUGCGGCUCUGGAACCCCGACACCUCGGAGGACGAGCCAUCAUCGUCAAGAGCUUCGCCAGGAUCCACGGUGUCCUCACCGGGGUCAAAGUCUCGCGCUGGCAGCUCAUCUCCUGUAGGGG